UACAGAGGGGGCAAGCGUUGUUCGGAAUUACUGGGCGUAAAGGGCGCGUAGGCGCCUUCUAAGUCGAACGUGAAAUCCCCGGGCUCAACCCGGGAACUGCGUCCGAUACUGGAAGGCUUGAAUCCGGGAGAGGGAUGCGGAAUUCCAGGUGUAGCGGUGAAAUGCGUAGAUAUCUGGAGGAACACCGGUGGCGAAGGCGGCAGUCCUGGGACCGGCAGUUGAACGCUG
rnacentral:rRNA from 1 species